AGUCGAAACGCCCUCCGGGGCGUCUACCUGGGGAUGGUCUCCCGGUACUGAUGAGACAGACCAUA
rnacentral:hammerhead_ribozyme from 1 species